GACGAACGCUGGCGGCGUGCUUAACACAUGCAAGUCGAACGGAAAGGCCCUGCUUUUGUGGGGUGCUCGAGUGGCGAACGGGUGAGUAACACGUGAGUAACCUGCCCUUGACUUUGGGAUAACUUCAGGAAACUGGGGCUAAUACCGGAUAGGAGCUCCUGCUGCAUGGGGGGGGUUGGAAAGUUUCGGCGGUUGGGGAUGGACUUGCGGCUUAUCAGCUUGUUGGUGGGGUAGUGGCUUACCAAGGCUUUGACGGGUAGCCGGCCUGAGAGGGUGACCGGCCACAUUGGGACUGAGGUACGGCCCAGACUCCUACGGGAGGCAGCAGUGGGGAAUAUUGCACAAUGGGCGGAAGCCUGAUGCAGCAACGCCGCGUGCGGGAUGACGGCCUUCGGGUUGUAAACCGCUUUCGCCUGUGACGAAGCGUGAGUGACGGUAAUGAGUAAGAAGCACCGGCUAACUACGUG
rnacentral:rRNA from 1 species